AACGAACGCUGGCGGCAUGCCUAAUACAUGCAAGUCGAACGAGACCUUCGGGUCUAGUGGCGCACGGGUGCGUAACGCGUGGGAAUCUGCCCUUGGGUUCGGAAUAACAUCUGGAAACGGAUGCUAAUACCGGAUGAUGACGAAAGUCCAAAGAUUUAUCGCCCAGGGAUGAGCCCGCGUAGGAUUAGCUAGUUGGUGGGGUAAAGGCCUACCAAGGCGACGAUCCUUAGCUGGUCUGAGAGGAUGAUCAGCCACACUGGGACUGAGACACGGCCCAGACUCCUACGGGAGGCAGCAGUAGGGAAUAUUGGACAAUGGGCGAAAGCCUGAUCCAGCAAUGCCGCGCGAGUGAUGAAGGCCUUAGGGUUGUAAAGCUCUUUUACCAGAGAUGAUAAUGACAGUAUCUGGGGAAUAAGCCCCGGCUAACUCCGUGCCAGCCGCCGCCGUAACAC
rnacentral:rRNA from 1 species